AUUGAACGCUUGCGGCAGGCUUAACACAUGCAAGUCGAACGAUGAUUAUCUAGCUUGCUAGAUAUGAUUAGUGGCGGACGGGUGAGUAACAUUUAGGAAUCUGCCUAGUAGUGGGGGAUAGCUCGGGGAAACUCGAAUUAAUACCGCAUACGACCUACGGGUGAAAGGGGGCGCAAGCUCUUGCUAUUAGAUGAGCCUAAAUCAGAUUAGCUAGUUGGUGGGGUAAAGGCCCACCAAGGCGACGAUCUGUAACUGGUCUGAGAGGAUGAUCAGUCACACCGGAACUGAGACACGGUCCGGACUCCUACGGGAGGCAGCAGUGGGGAAUAUUGGACAAUGGGGGCAACCCUGAUCCAGCCAUGCCGCGUGUGUGAAGAAGGCCUUUUGGUUGUAAAGCACUUUAAGCAGGGAGGAGAGGCUAAUGGUUAAUACCCAUUAGAUUAGACGUUACCUGCAGAAUAAGCACCGGCUAACUCUGUGCCAGCAGCCGCGGUAAUACAGAGGGUGCGAGCGUUAAUCGGAAUUACUGGGCGUAAAGCGAGUGUAGUGGCUCAUUAGUCACAUGUGAAAUCCCCGGGCUUAACCUGGGAACUGCAUGUGAUACUGGUGGUGCUAGAAUAUGUGAGAGGGAAGUAGAAUUCCAGGUGUAGCGGUGAAAUGCGUAGAGAUCUGGAGGAAUACCGAUGGCGAAGGCAGCUUCCUGGCAUAAUAUUGACACUGAGAUUCGAAAGCGUGGGUAGCAAACAGGAUUAGAUACCCUGGUAGUCCACGCCGUAAACGAUGUCUACUAGCCGUUGGGGUCCUUGAGACUUUAGUGGCGCAGUUAACGCGAUAAGUAGACCGCCUGGGGAGUACGGCCGCAAGGUUAAAACUCAAAUGAAUUGACGGGGGCCCGCACAAGCGGUGGAGCAUGUGGUUUAAUUCGAUGCAACGCGAAGAACCUUACCUGGUCUUGACAUAGUGAGAAUCCUGCAGAGAUGCGGGAGUGCCUUCGGGAAUUCACAUACAGGUGCUGCAUGGCUGUCGUCAGCUCGUGUCGUGAGAUGUUGGGUUAAGUCCCGCAACGAGCGCAACCCUUUUCCUUAUUUGCCAGCGGGUUAAGCCGGGAACUUUAAGGAUACUGCCAGUGACAAACUGGAGGAAGGCGGGGACGACGUCAAGUCAUCAUGGCCCUUACGACCAGGGCUACACACGUGCUACAAUGGUAGGUACAGAGGGUUGCUACACAGCGAUGUGAUGCUAAUCUCAAAAAGCCUAUCGUAGUCCGGAUUGGAGUCUGCAACUCGACUCCAUGAAGUCGGAAUCGCUAGUAAUCGCAGAUCAGAAUGCUGCGGUGAAUACGUUCCCGGGCCU
rnacentral:rRNA from 1 species